rnacentral:rRNA from 1 species
AGAGUUUGAUCAUGGCUCAGAUUGAACGCUGGCGGCAUGCCUUACACAUGCAAGUCGAACGGUAACGGGCCUUCGGGUGCCGACGAGUGGCGAACGGGUGAGUAAUGCAUCGGAACGUACCUUUCAGUGGGGGAUAACGUAGCGAAAGUUACGCUAAUACCGCAUAUUCUGUGAGCAGGAAAGCAGGGGAUCGCAAGACCUUGCGCUGAUUGAGCGGCCGAUGUCAGAUUAGCUAGUUGGUGAGGUAAAGGCUCACCAAGGCGACGAUCUGUAGCGGGUCUGAGAGGAUGAUCCGCCACACUGGAACUGAGACACGGUCCAGACCCCUACGGGAGGCAGCAGUGGGGAAUUUUGGACAAUGGGGGCAACCCUGAUCCAGCCAUGCCGCGUGAGUGAAGAAGGCCUUCGGGUUGUAAAGCUCUUUCGGCCGGGAAGAAAUCGCAUGGGUUAAUACCCUGUGCGGAUGACGGUACCGGCAUAAGAAGCACCGGCUAACUACGUG